rnacentral:lncRNA from 1 species
UUAAGUAUCAAUAUAACAUGAUUGUUGUAAUCGAGUGUUAUCUGAUUUUUAAAUAAUUUGAGUAAUUGUUAUUUUGUUUUGAAUUAGGUGCAUUCCACAAAUAAAAAUCCCUUAGUUGUGAAGUGCAAACUGUUUCGAAUGGACGAAGAAGACAUUGUAGCUGAAGGUGUUUGGCUGUCAGAUAAUCCAGAUAUGGAAGGGCAGGGGAUUAAACUUGGGCCAGGUGCAUCUAAGGUUGUGGUGGAACAUGUUAUCGAAUCUACAGCAAGAUUAUGGAAACCUUGCAAUGGUAUGAAAAUAUUGGAAGAUGCUAUAGGUUGUUCCAUUGCAUGGCCCACUGACCAUAUCAUAAGAGAGGUAGGUUGUAUGUUAAUUAAGUUGGAUUAUGAAAAAAUACUGCUUAACUUACAUUUUUGGCAUUAAAAUGCUUGGAUACUGACCACCAUGUUCAGGUUGAGAUUCAAAUCCAAUACCACACCCUCCAUGAUAAUGGUAGAAUGUCUGCACAUUUGUCUUGCAAAAUUUUCUUAGCUCAUUUUCUGUAUACAGCUUUGCAUUCUCAUUUUGUUUGGUUGCCCACGUACAAUUUGAUUAAAUUGGAUUGUGAUAUUUUCUCAAGCAAGUGACCCAUCCUCACACAUUGAUCCAAGUCUUUUUGAUCCAAUAAAUAGUUGAAUCUUACUGAAGGGUUUUUUCUGGGAUCUGUAUUCUUUAGUUAGAUUUCAAUUUAUUUUUCUUUAUAUUGUAACAGGAUUGAGAAGGGGAUCGGUGUUGUGCUUUCUACUUUUCAUUUCACAACGCGACUACUUCCAUUUGAAGGUAAUUUCAUUCAUCAUUCAUUUGCAUAUUGUGAUUAUAACUGGCAUUAAUCUGUUGUAUGUUGUGAAAGUGGUGCUUAAUGAACUUCUUUUAAAAAAUUCAUUUAAUUGUAUUAAACCAGCUAAACAACCAAAGUUUUCUAGCAAUUGUAGGAACCUGUAGCUUUAUUCAGACCCACCAAACUUAUAAAUUGUGUCUGAUAUUAAAUCUUUUUUUUUGGAGUUGGAUAUUUCUUUCGGCCAACUGUGAGCUUUGACGACUUCAUGUGACAGGAGAACUUAAUCUUUUUCUGUAAAUUGAUAUGGAUGCAGUUUGUGAGUGGCUCGUAUGACCAUCUUUCAAACUCUUUGAUGGGUGAUUUCAAUUUGAUUGUGCAGGUUACCUUGUGAGAAUGAUGAUCUUCUAGGUGAUGAUGAGGUUAGCUUGGGAUUAGAUGUUUGUUGUCAUCAUUCCAGGGUUGUUGAAAAUUUUAAUUUUUAGAAUAGUGAAGCAUUUGAAUGAUGUAAAACUUUAUGAUAAACAUUUUUAUUUUUGAAAGUGAUGUAAUUUGUACAUGAAUUUGGAUGUUAAUAAAAUUUCAAUUUUCUGUGUUCUUCAAAUUUUCUGCUUCUUCCAAUGGAUUUCUGCUUUGUAGAAAGCAAAGGCGUUUUUUUUU